rnacentral:rRNA from 1 species
UACGUAGGGUGCGAGCGUUGUCCGGAAUUACUGGGCGUAAAGAGCUCGUAGGUGGUUUGUCGCGUUGUUCGUGAAAACUCACAGCUUAACUGUGGGCGUGCGGGCGAUACGGGCAGACUUGAGUACUGCAGGGAGACUGGAAUUCCUGGUGUAGCGGUGGAAUGCGCAGAGUAUCAGGAGGAACACCGGUGGCGAAGGCGGGUCUCUGGGCAGUAACUGACGCUGGAGGAGCGGAAGCCGUGGGGAGCGAACAGGA